rnacentral:rRNA from 1 species
AACGAACGCUGGCGGCAUGCCUAACACAUGCAAGUCGAACGAGACCUUCGGGUCUAGUGGCGCACGGGUGCGUAACGCGUGGGAACCUGCCCUUAGGUUCGGAAUAACUCCCCGAAAGGGGUGCUAAUACCGGAUAAUGUCUUCGGACCAAAGAUUUAUCGCCUUUGGAUGGGCCCGCGUUGGAUUAGCUAGUUGGUAGGGUAAAAGCCUACCAAGGCGACGAUCCAUAGCUGGUCUGAGAGGAUGAUCAGCCACACUGGGACUGAGACACGGCCCAGACUCUUACGGGAGGCAGCAGUGGGGAAUAUUGGACAAUGGGCGAAAGCCUGAUCCAGCAAUGCCGCGUGAGUGAUGAAGGCCUUAGGGUUGUAAAGCUCCUUUACCCGGGAUGAUAAUGACAGUACCGGGAGAAUAAGCUCCGGCUAACUCCGUG